rnacentral:rRNA from 1 species
GUACGGGAGGCAGCAGUAGGGAAUAUUGGACAAUGGGCGCAAGCCUGAUCCAGCCAUGCCGCGUGCAGGAUGAAGGCCCUAUGGGUCGUAAACUGCUUUUGUACAGGAAGAAACCUUACUACGUGUAGUAAGUUGACGGUACUGUGAGAAUAAGGAUCGGCUAACUUCGUGCCAGCAGCCGCGGUAAUACGAAGGAUCCAAGCGUUGUCCGGAUUUACUGGGUUUAAAGGGUGCGUAGGCGGACUUUUAAGUCAGUGGUGAAAGCCUGUAGCUUAACUAUAGAAUUGCCAUUGAAACUGAAAGUCUCGAGUGUGGUUGAGGUAACUGGAAUAUAUCAUGUAGCGGUGAAAUGCUUAGAUAUGAUAUAGAACACCAAUUGCGAAGGCAGGUUGCUGAGCCACAACUGACGCUGAGGCACGAAAGCGUGGGGAUCAAACAGGAUCAGAAACCCCAGUAGUCCC